AGUGAACGCUGGCGGUAGGCCUAACACAUGCAAGUCGAACGGCAGCACAGUAAGAGCUUGCUCUUACGGGUGGCGAGUGGCGGACGGGUGAGGAAUACAUCGGAAUCUACUUUUUCGUGGGGGAUAACGUAGGGAAACUUACGCUAAUACCGCAUACGACCUACGGGUGAAAGCAGGGGAUCUUCGGACCUUGCGCGAUUGAAUGAGCCGAUGUCGGAUUAGCUAGUUGGCGGGGUAAAGGCCCACCAAGGCGACGAUCCGUAGCUGGUCUGAGAGGAUGAUCAGCCACACUGGAACUGAGACACGGUACAGACUCCUACGGGAGGCAGCAGUGGGGAAUAUUGGACAGUGGGCGCAAGCCUGAUCCAGCCAUACCGCGUGGGUGAAGAAGGCCUUCGGGUUGUAAAGCCCUUUUGUUGGGAAAGAAAAGCAGCAGGUUAAUACCCCGCUGUUCUGACGGUACCCAAAGAAUAAGCACCGGCUAACUUCGU
rnacentral:rRNA from 1 species